ACUAUCUUGAUAAUGAAGUGUACUGUAUUGGAUUCACAGAGAUUAGCAUGGCCUCUGCACAAAGAUGACGUGCAGAUUCAUUGAGCAUUCCAUAUUUUU
rnacentral:snRNA from 1 species